UGCGCAUGUGUGUAUGGCUUUUUCCCAUCAUUUUUCUCCCCUCUGACUGUGGGUCACUAGUGCCAGAGGAGCCCGUCCAGGCCCCAUUCAAAGUAAGUUGCACUUUUUAAUGUAGUGUUAUUUUCCUUUGUUUUAUUUCUUUCUUUCUUUUUUUUUUUUUUUUUUUGUAUUAUUGCUGCAUGUUUGGAGCCUUUAAAUGUGAUUUUAGAACAAUUUUUUUAAGACAUCAAGGAGAAAGACAAUACAUGUCUUCAGAAUAUAUGAUAGGCAUUUGACCCAGUUUUUCGGUGCAUGAUAUGGGACAAUGGAGAGACAUUUUCCCAUUCAUGUGUUUCAAGCAGUCCCUCCCCCAUCUCCAACUUCUAGUGUAACUCAUUAGAGGGAGCACUUUUUUCCAUCUGGGUUCUCAUUCUUGCCCACUAAGUAGAUGUAUUUAUGUUAAUGAUGGAAGUAAGAGCAGGUUUCUCUCCCAAUCAUUUAAAAAAUAGAAAAGGUUGGGUGUGGUCUUAAUGGGUUUUACCUAAAGUGGUCUGUAACAGAGUUGAGUACAACAGCUCUGGUGGUGAUAAACCCUGACCCAGAGUGUUUGCAGAUGUCAGAGCAACCUGCUCCAAGAAUGGGGAGAGGCGAUCGGCCGUGGUUCAAACCCAGUGAUGCAUUCUUGCGGUGCAAUCAUGAAAUUCCACGGCCAGCUCUCUCUGAGGGCACCUCGUUGUACUCUGGGCUCCUGUGUCAAACCUACUGGAAAUUUUGUAGAAUGCCAGAGUUAGCUGAGCUGCGUCACCUGUGCCUACAGUAGUCUGUGGGCAGAAGGAUGCUGUGUGGGUCAGCAGGCCCAGAGGUUUCAUUCCUUUUCCACUUAAUCCCUGUGUGUCGUUGCCCUGCUUCCCCUCCCUUCCUUCUCCUAGGUUUUAUCUUUUUUUUUUUUUUCUCUCUCUCUCUCUCUCAAAACAAGAGUUCAGAGAAUUAACAUUCCUUGGCUGGUGAGUGGGAUGCUAAACCCAGCCUCAGGACACUGGUCACCUCUUCCCAUCCUCCUAGGAGCCACUGCUGGGAAGCAGCUGCUGAUGGGAACUGUCAGAGUUCCAGAGACAUUUUCAAAUCAGUCUGUUAGAGAAGAGUUGACAGUCUAUGCCACACUGGAGCAGAAAAACUUACAUGAGCAAGAAAAACAAAGUGCCACGUCUAUCUUCUAGGCCCACUGCCUCAGCCAUAGCAUUUAUUAAGUGAAAUACACACCUGGUAAUCCAUGGAGGCUUCUUAAGGCCAUGGCCAAAUAGCAUUAGAAGAGAGCCAGGUUUCCAUACUGGCUCUGAAUGAUGCGUACCAGAUUCUGCUGUUCUACAUCCACUUUGCCCAGACUGUAUAGACACGAUCUGUGUUUCACCUCAAUACCUCUCCCUUCCUGGGACAGGGUCCUUAGACACUAAAUGCUUCUCUCUGUCUUUUUGCUUAAGGGAGUGGGAUGAGUAACACAUUGUGCCCUUGUGCAGAUGUUUUAGGGAGCUCCUGCUGGACAGCUUGCAAACUUCCAGUGUGUCGACAGAGCCCUGUUUGCCAGCUCCACUGCCAGUGCAGACGAGCCAGCAGUGUGGCAGCCAUGUCAUCCCGCAGACUAAAGUUGAGGUGGGCACAGCUGUGGUAUCACCAACAUUACAGAGAUACAAUUUCAAGUUUGCCUGUUGCAGGCAUGGCACUUGUAAGGGCCGGGAGCAGUGAUUUGGAACAUUGGCAUCUGGGAAGGGAGGACUGGAGGAAAUGGAGACCUGGGCUCCUUCCUUGUCCUGGGAAUGUAGGAGAGAAGCUGCUCUGAGGCCAACCCUUGAAAUUCUCGGCCUGCCCUCUGGCUAGGGCCCUUCCCCUGCUCCAAAGUUAAGAAGGGGCCUCCAUUGCAAACUUGAAAUUGCUUGCCUGAAGUUGGUACAUCGGGUUCUAGCCAUGCUCAGCCACACCUGUCUUAAUGUCCCUUUUCACCAUUGGCCUAGCCAGCUGCAGCGCUGUCUGUGAUCCUCGGAGCCUGUGGUACCUGCCCAUGAUGGGAGACAUUAGACGGCUGCUGGCACGCCACCUGCCCAGAGCUACAGGAGGUCUGGUUCUGGGGUGGGAGUUGGUACAAUUUCUGAGUAUGGGGACUUACCACCCCAAGAGGUAGGGAGUUACAGUUAACCAUAACUUACUGAACUCCGGUGGUUGAGUGGUUUUAAUAUGGGAAAGAGAGGAGAAAUCUCAGGUCCAGUUAGGGUUCUGCCCAUUAGCUUUUCACUGAAACUUUGAACUAUGGUUUUUUCAUCUUUCAGUUUAUGGCUAUAUUUGCUCCUCCCUCUCCCCCCACCCACCUUCCCCUCCUCCUCUUUUCUUUUGGUCUCCUUCCCAACUUCAUUUCUCCAUUAGUUUAAACGUACCUCAUCACCUGUUAAAGCAGAUUAUGUCCACUUUUUCUUACUGACCUUACUCUAAGAGCUACAACUGGGGGAGGUACAGUGAAAGACAUGUAGCGUUUGCCUUACUCGGAGCCUGAAGAGCUCAGAAACUCAUGCUGUGAAUCCCAAAACUCAGUGCUCCUCCAAGAGCUGUGAAAAUCAUGACACUUUGUCAAAAUUUUGCCUGAAAGGGUCUUUUGCGUGGGCGCCAGAGCCAACCUGAGGUAGAUUCCAGAGCUCACCCUCUGGGCAUGAUCCUCCCCCCAUGGCUCAUUCCCUGCCCGCCAGGCCAAGAGCAGCACAGAGUGUGCAGGACUGGGGCAGCAGAUCUGAGGCUUUGGUGCAGCCUAAUGGAACGCAGAGCCAGCACUCCGUCUCCAGGCUGGGAUUUCAUCUCAUGAUCAACACCAUGUACAUUCAGAUCCACGAAAGACCAACUUUUAGGCAGUGAUACUUCUCUCCCAUUACCUGGGGGGAAAGUAUGCAGUUGGUGCUUUCUUUAAUUCCCUUGUUUUGUUUUGUUUCUGUAAGCUCUUCCCCUGCUAUCAUGGAAAGGACUUCUUAAACACCACUCUGUGGGUGGCUGUAUCCAAAGUCUCAAUAAUUGGCCAGAGGUGCAGAGUAUCCUGUCCUGGAUUCACACAAGGAAAGGGCUCCUUACCACAACUGAACUUCUUACAUAAAAAGCUGGCUGGGGUGGAAGGCUUAAUUUUACUAAAAUCAAAGUUUAAUGUUAUCAUCUAGCCACAAAUUGACAGCAAAGGCUAUUUUGAUAGUAAAAUGAGAGUCCCCAUGUAGCCUGCCAUUUAGCACAGCAUAUUCAUAUUUGAUGCUUGUUCAUUGUGUGUCUUCACGAGCCCCUCUCUGGUGCUGAAUUGGAUUUGAAUUCUUGGUGAGAGCCCUCAGCAUCUCCUUGGGCUGGUCUGGGCCAGUAAAUAGCUACCUGAAGUGUUUAUAUAUUAUCAUGGUCAAUAGUUCAGUGAAAUUUGUACAUUUUUGGUAACAUUGGCGCACAUGAUGCCCCUACAGUUCCUUUUCUGUUUGGUAGUUUGUGACUCUAAAAUUCCCACUGUUAUGUGUGUUAAUUUAUGAAAAUAAAUUUUUUUUU